AGAGUAUUUGACUUAAAUGCUCCCAGGCACGAGUUUCGAGGCUAGGUUCAAAAAGUCAACAUCUCAUCCCUCCGCUGCUUAAACAGGCCAGCACCGCCGUGUCCGUACUUGCUCCGCUGCAUUUAUUUCGCCGGUGAAGUUUGGUGAAGCUGGUUUAUUACUCCUUGAAGCACAGGCUUACCCCCUACGGUCUCUGUUUUGGCUUUAAAUGAGCCAUAAGCUGCAGAUCUGGUUGAGAGAAUGCUUCCUGUAACGAAGUAACUUUAACGCUUUGACCCUACAAGGUUGGGUAGUUAAGGUUAUUCAAGCUUCCUGUGAAUCUUUUACUGUGGAAUACAGUUUUUACCUCAUCUCUGAGGAGUUACCCGCUCUAGGUUCUUACUGCGAGAUCUGCAGUUAUAUCUCUUAGACUUUACAGAAGAAAACAAAAAGACAUCGGUGGUAAGAUGUCUCUACGCAACUCAAGGCAUGAAAAGGGCAAAUGGAUAGCUGACCCCACCAAAUCAUCUCGCCGUCCUCCUAUCCAAAUCCCACAGAUAAACACUUCUGCGCUGAUACAGGAGAACAAACUCACCCUGAUUGGUCGAGUUACUAACCCCGCCAUCCAAAAAACUCGCGCACUUGUGGAUUUCUUUCUACAGCACUGGCGAGUGGCGGGUAAAAUCACUGGCAGAGACUUAGGCCCCAACUUAUUUCAGUUCAAGUUCGAGACUGAACAAGAUCUUCUAUCGGUCCUCUCUGAAGCACCUUUCCACUUCAAGCGAUGGAUGCUGAUUCUUCAAAGGUGGGAACCGAUAGUCUCUGACCACUUCCCCGCGCUGAUUCCGUUCUGGAUCACUAUUCACGGAAUUCCCUUGCACUACUGGACAGAUGUAGCCCUGGAGGCCAUUGGGAAUGAACUGGGACCAGUGGAAACGUAUGAUGUUGAACGCGGGAGGAUUAGGGUCCUGAUCAAUGGGUUAAAACCAUUAGAGAUGGCGCUGGAAAUAAGCCUAGCAGGGGAAAUCAAACAAGUGGAGCUUGAGUACGAGAACCUACAAAAACACUGCUUCCUCUGUCACUCUCUCUCUCAUGAAAAGGAGGUAUGCCCAUCUCGUCGGACCCAAUCAAACUUGAGCUCUGCAGCUCCAACAAAAAUGGGAAUCUCUCAAGUCCGAACUAUGGACCGUUUGGAAGCUGAUAAACGGAGACUAGAUGCGAAGAAGCAUAACUACUUGGGCCACCAACCCACAGAACAGGGAAGACCGGGAUUUCCAAGACAAUGGCAAAGUAGCUCCACCCGCUCGUAUGAUUGGAACCAGGACAAAAGCUUCAGAUUUAAUUACGGAGCCCGGCGUGACCCUUACUUCAAACAGAGCUCACUCUCUUCCGAUAGAAGUAACCCAGCUUCACGACUUCCAGUACGAGAUAGACUUUCACUCCGUACGGAAGAAGACUCUGUUACAAACAAGGACUCUCAGUCUCGCCACCAUACUCGAGCUCAAAGAUCAGAAUGGAGACCGAUCACAAGGAGCCCCCAAAGCGGAAUUCCAAUCCCUCUGAACUCUUUGGGCUCUCAUACUCCAUCCCCUCGGCCUCCUCGUGAGGGAGACGUAAAUCACAGACUCGCAUCAUCUGCCUCAAAACAAGCAUCAGGGGAAGGUAGUAGACCAUCACAAGAGAGAAGGUCAGCGCUAGAGCGACUGUCACUACCAAAUGAAAGAGUACCUCUACUCCAGGAUGGGGUCCCAAAUGCGGAAUCUGGCAGACUUCAAGAGGUCCCAAUUCAGCAGUUAGAAGAGGUACUACCUCUACCCCAAUCUGGGGGAAGUAACCUACCUUCUAGCUCAAGAGUUCCAAGUAGGACAAGGGAAGAAUUCGAUCCAUCUCAAGAUCGAUCCCCCAUCCGCACCCUCAGUGAAGAUAGGGUACAUGUCUCACUCAGAUUGGGACCGCUGUUCCCAGACGACGAAGAUGAUCUACAAGAACUCGGUCCUAGGACAGGUAAAGACCUGGUAGCAUCAUCUGCUCCGCAACCACCGCUGGCUAAAAAGCGGGGUCCGAGAAGUCCACCUCAGGGAGUCGCUGUUAAAAAAAGAAGAGUUACAAAGGUACAGAACUCCCCCAAAAGAAGAGGAACUACAGAAACAAAGAAGAGUAAAACGACUCAGCCGAGAUCCUCAGGAGGACAACCGCGAGUUAACAUCAUUCCACCAUCGAGGAAGAAGGGAACGGAUUUUCGGUCCGCUCCACCUCCUCUUCCUUAGUCAAUCUGAGCUGGAACUGUCAGGGUAUUGGGAGCGACCUGACAGUUCGUCGACUCCGAGAGUUUCGCACAAAGGACUCUCCGGAGAUCAUGUUUCUGAUGGAGACAAAACAGAAGGAUGAGGAGAUUUACAAGAUGUAUAAGGGGACAGCCUUCACAAAUCACUACACCGUACCACCCGAGGGACUUAGUGGAGGCUUGGCCCUCUCCUGGAAGGAUACAGUGCAGAUUGAAAUCUUAUUCUCUUCAGCAAAUGUAAUUGAUACAAAAAUUGAGUUCAAUGGAAAAACCUUCUUUGUGUCAUAUAUCUAUGGAGCUCCAAAUAGAGAAGAUAGACCAAAGUUCUGGGAAUCAUUGUCAGAAAUAGGAGCACAGCGGAGUGCACCAUGGCUUCUCACGGGAGACUUUAAUGAUUUGCUUGACAACUCGGAGAAAGUAGGAGGCCCGUUGAGAUGGGAAGGCUCCUUCUUAUCCUUCAGGAACUUUGUGUCCCUCAAUGGCCUAUGGGAUUUACAAUUCUCGGGUAACUCCCUCUCGUGGAGAGGAACGAGAUACACACACUUCAUCCAAUCUAGACUAGAUAGAGCAAUGGCAAAUAUUGAAUGGAUGGAGAUGUUUCCUGCUGCUAGAAGUGAAUACUUGAGGUUUGAAGGGUCGGAUCAUCGUCCGAUGUUAACUCAUUUUGACCAACACCUCAAGAAGAAAAAAGGCUUGUUUCGGUAUGAUAGGAGGCUGAGUGAGAAACCGGAAGUUCGCACCUUAGUGGAAACAACCUGGAACUCCUCUAGCACAGACUCAGUCUUGACAAAGAUCAGCCAGAUACGACGUAACCUGAUCGAAUGGGCGAAGGUACAGACAGCUGCAGCAAAAGAACAUAUACUCUCCCACCAAGUGCUAUUGGAACAGGAACUGUCAACUGCCAACCCCAAUACUGCACGUAUCGGGGAGCUGAAUGCGAUCCUAACAAAAGCUUACGCGGAGGAUGAAGAGUUCUGGCGCCAAAGGAGUCGUAUCCAAUGGCUAAAUGGAGGUGAUAGGAAUUCGUCGUUCUUCCAUGCGGUCACCAGAGAACGCAGAGCCUGCAACAAGUUCUCCAUCAUCGAAAAUGAGGCGGGGCAGGGUUUCUUCGAGGAGAAUCAAAUAGUUCAGACGUUUGUACAAUUCUACCAGCAGUUAUUUACCUCCGGGAACACAGAUGCGAGAUCAGUGGUCGAAGAAGCUCUCUCACCGAAGGUUACUGCUGCAAUGAAUGAGAAGCUAAUAAAAAUCCCCGAUAUGGAGGAAAUUCGAGCUGCAGUCUUCUCUAUACACCCGGGAAAGGCACCAGGGCCAGAUGGAUUCUCGGCGGGGUUCUAUCAGACGUUUUGGGAUGUAAUUGGGACUGAUAUCUUCCGAGACGUGAAGAGCUUCUUUGAAACAGGCCGAAUGAACCCCCGUCAAAAUGAGACUCACCUCAGGCUCAUUCCAAAGACCAAGGGAGCAAAGAAGGUGUCGGACUAUAGGCCCAUUGCACUGUGCAAUACACACUAUAAGAUAAUUGCAAAGAUCCUGUCUAGACGGCUCCAACCUCUGCUCCACUCUCUGAUCUCGCCAUCGCAGUCAGCAUUUGUUCCUGGGCGAGCGAUAUCAGAUAACGUGUUAAUCACGCAUGAGAUACUCCACUAUCUGAGAAAAUCUGGGGCAAGGAAACGGGUGACCAUGGCGGUAAAGACCGACAUGAGCAAGGCAUAUGACAGGAUUGAGUGGAGCUUCCUUCGUGAGGUACUGAGCAGAUUGGGCUUCCAUGACACGAUAAUCUCGUGGCUAAUGGAAUGUGUCUCAUCGGUGUCAUACUCCUUCCUGAUAAAUGGAGGACCGCAAGGUGCUGUUAAGCCUUCGAGAGGCCUCCGACAAGGUGACCCGCUCUCACCGUACCUGUUCAUCCUUUGUACGGAGGUACUCUCAGGACUAUGUCGACAGGCUCAAGAAAAAGGAACCUUACCGGGAGUAAAAGUGGGGCGGCACUGCCCUCCCAUUAACCAUCUCCUCUUCGCGGACGACACCAUGUUCUUUGGGAAGUCGAAUGCCGCUAGCUGCUCAGCCUUACUCUCUAUCCUCCAGAAGUAUGAGAUGGCUUCUGGACAGUGCAUAAAUCGUGGGAAGUCGGCUAUAACUUUCUCAUCAAAAACCUCUCCAGAAUGCAAAACGAGAGUGAAAGCUGAACUCAAUAUAAACCAAGAAGGGGGAAUUGGAAAAUACCUUGGUUUGCCGGAGCACUUUGGAAGGAAGAAAAGGGACAUCUUCUCAAGCAUCAUUGAUCGCAUUAGACAAAAAGCCCAAGGGUGGACAGCGAGGUACCUCUCGGGAGCAGGGAAGAUGGUGCUGUUGAAGGCGGUUUUGGCAGCAAUGCCUACCUAUGCCAUGUCGUGUUUCAAGCUUCCGAAGUCUUUAUGUAAGCAAAUCCAAUCUGUCCUCACAAGAUUUUGGUGGGAUGUUAAACCGGAGAUUAGAAAAAUGUGUUGGGUCUCUUGGGAUAGGCUUACCCUCCCCAAGAGUGCCGGAGGACUUGGGUUUAGAGAAAUUGAAGAGUUUAAUGAUGCACUGUUGGCAAAACACACUUGGAGACUGCUAAAAGACCCCUCCUCCCUGCUGGGACAAACACUCUUAAAUAAGUACUGCCGCUAUGAAGACCUUCUCUAUGUAUCAGCUCCAGGCUCUGCCUCGCAUGGUUGGAGAGGGAUUCUUGCAGGUAGGGAGAUCAUCAAGAAGGGAAUGGGUUGGGUAGUAGGUAGUGGAGAAACUAUCAAGAUUUGGAGUGAUGACUGGUUAUCUACGGAAAAGCAAGAACGUCCUGUUGGACCCCCAAAUCUCGACGCUCAGAACCUGACAGUCAAAGAACUUUUCCAGAUAAACUCAGCGGAGUGGGACUCAGAGAAAAUAAAACUCCAUUUACCUCAGUAUGAGGGCGAUAUCUUAAAACUAGUGCCUAGCUCCCUGGCGAUGGAUGAUGAGAGGGUCUGGCUCCCUGAAAAGUCAGGAGAGUACUCAACUCGUUCAGGCUAUGCACUGGCAAAGAUGAACAAGGGUGAUACCAUUGAGACUUUCAACUGGAAAAAGUGCGUGUGGAAUGUUAAAUGCUCGCCCAAACUGCAGCAUUUCUUAUGGAAAGUAAAGUCAAAUGCACUGGCUGUGGGAGAGACACUAAUCAAGCGUGGUAUCCAAACUGAAGGGAAAUGCAAGCGGUGUGGAGCUAGUGAAUCUAUUCUCCACGUUAUGCUUUCCUGCCCUUAUGCACAAAGGGUUUGGAGACUAGCCCCAAUCCUAACACCUCUCACGACAGGGAGUGAUGAGUCGAUGGCGGAAGUUCUUCAAACAUGCACUAGGAUGAUCAAUCUACCUCCCACUGGUCUGGUAACUCCCUUAUACCCAUGGAUUUUUUGGGUCUUGUGGACUAGUAGGAAUCAGUUAUUGUUCGAGGAUAAGUCUUUCUCGGAAACAGAGACGAUGCUCAAGGCUAUUAAGGCGGCAGUGGAAUGGCAGGAGGCAACCAAUCUCCUAAACACGACAAUGCCACCUACCAAGAAACCAAACUCUGUUUCAACUAAAGACUCUCCCCCUGUGAACUUAACUCCACAAAUACCAGCAAAUACCUCAGCUCUGUAUUCAGAUGCGGCUUGGAACAGCACAUCUCUGGCAGGAGGCAUGGGAUGGGUAAGCACAACAGCUGACGGCUCGAUCCUGUUCAAAGGAACUGUGACUCGUCGAAAUGUGGCCUCAGCUCUCGUAGCAGAGGCGAUGGCUCUUAAAACAGCACUCUUGGAAGCUAUCUCUCAUGGUCUAACUGACAUAAUCUGUUUCUCAGAUUCUAAGUGUCUAAUUGACCUCAUCACAGGAAAGAAAACUGUGGUGGCUCUGCAAGGAUUACUCCAUGACCUCGGCGUGUUGAGUGACUCUUGUAACUCUAUCUCUUUUUAUUUUAUCCCUCGGGGCUGCAAUGAAGCUGCAGACACUCUAGCUAAAAAUGCUCUGUUUUGUAUGUCAAACAACCCUUCUAGGGAAGCUCUUUCUGUUGUAAACUCUGUUCUUUAAGUUGAAGUAAGAAGGUUUGACC
rnacentral:lncRNA from 1 species